rnacentral:tRNA from 1 species
GGCGCGUUGGUCAAGUGGUUAAGACUCCGCCCUCUCACGGCGGCUUCAAGGGUUCGAAUCCCUUACGCGUCACCA